rnacentral:rRNA from 1 species
GACGUAGGUGGCGAACGUUAUCCGGAAUCAUUGGGCGUAAAGGGUGCGUAGAUGGCAUGAUAAGUUAUUCGUGGGAAACCGAGGCUCAACCUCGUGGAAGCUAGUAAUACUGUUUUGCUUGAGUGCAGAAGAGGUUAACGGAACUCCAUGUGGAGCGGUAAAAUGCGUAGAUAUAUGGAAGAACAUCAAUAACGGCGAAGGCAGUUAACUAUUCUGUUACUGACAUUGAGGCACGAAAGCGUGGGGAGCAAAACGG